rnacentral:rRNA from 1 species
UACGUAGGAUGCAAGCGUUGUCCGGAUUUACUAGGCGUAAAGCGCGCGCAGGCGGCACUCUAAGUACGCUGUGAAAUAUCCCGGCUCAACCGGGAGGGUGCAGUGUAGACUAGGGAGCUAGAGGUCGGUAGAGGGGGGUGGAAUUGCUGGUGUAGCGGUGAAAUGCGUAGAGAUCAGCAGGAACACCCGUGGCGAAGGCGGCCCCCUGGGCCGUACCUGACGCUGAGGCGCGAAGGCGUGGGGAGCGAACGGG